rnacentral:rRNA from 1 species
GACGAACCGUGCGAACGUUAUUCGGAAUCACUGGGCUUAAAGCGCGUGUAGGCGGGAGGGCACGUCCGUUGCUGAAAUCCCCCGGCUCAACCGGGGAACGGGCGCGGAUACGACUCUCCUUGAGGGGCGUAGGGGGACCUGGAACUUCCGGUGGAGCGGUGAAAUGCGUUGAGAUCGGAAGGAACGCCCGUGGCGAAAGCGAGGUCCUGGACGCCUACUGACGCUGAGGAGCGAAAGCGUGGGGAGCGAACAGG